rnacentral:rRNA from 1 species
AGGGCUUACGGUGGAUACCUUGGCAUUUAGAAGCGAUGAAGGGCGUGACUACCAACGAAAUGCUCCGGGUAGCUGGAAGUAAGCUUUGAUCCGGAGGUUCCCGAAUGAGGAAACUCUAUUAUACUACCUAUUGAAUUCAUAGAUAGGCAAGAGCAAACUUGGUGAACUGAAACAUCUUAGUAUCCAAAGGAAAAGAAAGCAAAAGCGAUUCUCUUAGUAGCGGCGAGCGAAAAGAGAACAGCCUAAACCACUUUAAUAAGUUUUAGUGGGGUUGCGGGACAGAAACAAAAGUAAACAAAAAGCUAGGUGAAACAAGUGGAAUAUUGUAUCAAAGAAGGUGAUAAUCCUGUAGCUGAAAGUAGAUUGUAGCUUAUCUGUAUCCCAAGUAGCAUGGAGCACGUGGAAUUCCGUGUGAAUCAACGAGGACCACCUCGUAAGGCUAAAUAUUCCUAAAUGACCGAUAGUGAAAAGUACCGUGAGGGAAAGGUGAAAAGAACCCCGGAAGGGGAGUGAAAUAGAACAUGAAACCGUAAGCUUACAAGCAGUAGGAGAACGACUAAUCGUUUAACUUCGUGCAUGUUGAAGAAUGAGCCGGCGACUUAUAGUCAGUGGCAGGUUAAGAUAGAAAAUAUUGAAGCCAUAGUGAAAGCGAGCCUUAACAAGGCGUUAGUCACUGUUUAUAGACCCGAAACCGGAUGAUCUAGCCAUGGCCAGGGUGAAGCUUAGGUAACACUAAGUGGAGGUCCGAACCGACUGAUGUUGAAAAAUCAGCGGACGAGCUGUGGUUAGAGGUGAAAUGCUAAUCGAAUCCGGAGCUAGCUGGUUCUCCCCGAAAUGCGUUUUGGCGCAGCGGUUGAUGCUUAAACUUAGGGGUAAAGCACUGUUUCGAUGCGGGCUGUGAAAAUGGUACCAAAUCGAGGCAAACUCUGAAUACUAAGUGUGUAGUCAACUAGUGAGACAGUGGGGGAUAAGCUUCAUUGUCAAGAGGGAAACAGCCCAGACCACCAGCUAAGGCCCCUAAAUAAUUACUAAGUGGUAAAGGAAGUGGAAAUGUUUAAACAACCAGGAGGUUUGCUUAGAAGCAGCAAUCCUUUAAAGAGUGCGUAAUAGCUCACUGGUCUAAUAAUUCUGCGCCGAAAAUGAACGGGGCUAAGUAAUUUGCCGAAGCUGUGGGAUGUUAUUACAUCGGUAGGGGAGCGUUCUGUUACAGGUUGAAGCAUUAACGUAAGUGGAUGUGGACAAAGCAGAAGUGAGAAUGUCGGCUUGAGUAACGAAAACAUUGGUGAGAAUCCAAUGCCCCGAAAACCUAAGGGUUCCUUUGCAAGGUUCGUCCACAAAGGGUGAGUCAGGUCCUAAGGCGAGGCUGAAAAGCGUAGUCGAUGGAUAACAGUUUAAUAUUCCUGUACUAUUUACUAUUGAUAUCGAGGGACGGAGAAGGCUAAAUCAGCCGGAUGUUGGUUACCGGUUUAAAUUUUUGAAGGUUAUGAUAGAUGGUGAAAACAUCUUGAGCUAAAAAAUGAGUACAAGCUACCACGGUAGUAAAGUGAUUGAUGUCAUACUUCCUAGAAAAGCUCCAAAUAUCUUAAAUAGUAAUUACCUGUACCCUAAACUGACACAAGUAGGUAAGUAGAGUAUACUAAGGGGCGCGAGAUAACUCUCUCUAAGGAACUCGGCAAAAUAGCCCCGUAACUUCGGGAGAAGGGGUGCCCUUGUAGGGCUGCAAUAAAUAGACCCAAGCGACUGUUUACCAAAAACACAGGUCUCCGCGAAGUCGCAAGACAAUGUAUGGAGGCUGACGCCUGCCCAGUGCCGGAAGGUUAAGGAAGCUGGUUAGUAUUUUACAAAGCUAGCAACUGAAGCCCCGGUGAACGGCGGCCGUAACAAUAACGGUCCUAAGGUAGCGAAAUUCCUUGUCGAGUAAGUUUCGACCCGCACGAAAGACGUAACGAUCUGGGCACUGUCUCGGAGAGAGACUCGGUGAAAUAGAAAUGUCUGUGAAGAUGCGGACUACUUAUACNCGUCUUUCGUGCGGGUCGAAACUUACUCGACAAGGAAUUUCGCUACCUUAGGACUGUCAGAGUUACAGCCGCCGUUCACCGGGGCUUCAGUUGUUAGCUUUUUCCAAAGAAUAACCAACUUCUUUUACCUUCCGGCACUGGGCAGACGUCAGCCCCCAUACAUUGUCUUACGACUUUGCGGAGACCUGUGUUUU